rfam:Daucus carota subsp. sativus cultivar DH1 chromosome 1, whole genome shotgun sequence.
AUGCCGUGAUGAGGACACUUCCGAAGCAUCUCCUUAUAUCGCUCCCAAGCUUCACAAAAGGUCUCGCCCAUUUGCUGAGAGAAUUGUGAAAUAGCAUUCCUCAAUGC